AUGUGUCUCAGUGGUAGAGCAACUUACCUGGCAUGUGUGAAGCCCUGGGUUCGAUUCCCAGCAU
rnacentral:tRNA from 1 species